rnacentral:ncRNA from 1 species
GAAACCUCAUCUUGCUCAAGCGCCAUCCGGGCGCCAGGGCAGUGUUUUUUAUAAAACACGGACAUUCCGUCCGAGUGAGGAGAGAGG